GGCUCAGUUCUCCAGGUGCAUACUGCCAUUGCUGGUUUUGAAAGCUGCCCACCAUGAUGUGCAAGUGGUUCUUCUCUGCUGGGAGGACAACAAAGUGGAUGCUUCCAAGUCUUCUGACAAGACCUGGAGGAUGCUAAGAGAAUUGUGAUGGUGCUGCCCAAGGCUUUUGCUGAAGUUGUAAUGCAGCUCUGCAUCAUGGAAAAUAUAGAUUUAGAGACUAAACAAAUUCCUGGCACGCAUUUUGGAGCAGUGUUUCUGGAUUGGGUGAUGCUGUGCACAGAAGUAUCUGAUGGCUUGAAGGUGGCUCAAUAAGAACUUGUUAUAGGUAGAGCCAUUCACCAGUUUCUGUAUUCAUAGAGGAAAGGAGCCAUCAUAUGCGGUAAUGCAAAAAUAUCUCACUCAAUAAAAAGAUGGAGACUUUUUUUUUUUAAUUUAACUUCAGAUUUGGGAGUACAAUGUCAUCUGUUUUCUUUGGUUUGCCUCGGGCCUUUUGGGAUAUAAAUAAUAAUUUCGAAUGGGAUUUAUUUCAUGUAACUUCAGACACCUGGAAAAAACAUUUGGUGUAGCUAUCCACCCAGUUUACCUUUAAAAUCAAGGAAGAUAAAUUUAUCACCUCUGUCUUAGACACACAUCUUCAGAUGGUAUCUUUUUUUUCUCCCACAUAUUGUAAGCUGUAGGCUAUUCUCUGAAUUAAUUUCUGCAUCAAAUCUAACAACUAGGUUUACUUGUGGCGGGUAUGUUAGAAAAAUACUGUAGCGUUGCUGGUUUUGUGCUGAGAAAUCCAGUAGUCUUUAGAAAAGUUAAAUUAGUUAAAUAUUUCUUUUAAAGUCACCGUAUGCCCAGUCUUCAUCUGGGGUGCUGGUAGUCACAUGAUGUGGCAUGGUGGGCUGAUAAGUGCCCAUAGUUGUUUUUUUUUCUACCACUAACACUGCCUGGUCUCAGCAGAUUUAUGCCUGUUUUCCCAGAAAAUACCCCUUCAGUCAACUUUCAAAACUUCCCUUUCUCCAAUCCCAUUACUUUCAGAUUUGAUGAAAUAGUAAUUACUAACUUUUUUUUUUAUUUUGAAUUGAUAUUUUAGAGUCAAGACCUCACUCCAGCAAGGCUUCUCUAAACCUGUUUAAUGAGAAUACCCCAUUCACAGCUGCAUUUUAAGGCACAGACAGUUUUUAAUCCAUUUAAUGUGUGCUGGGCUGGUUUUUCUUUACUGUGAUUUCUUAAUUGAGACAUCGUGUGUAAGGAAGUCAGAUGCCUCAGUUUAGUGGAUUACACAAACACUGAAUUACCUUUAUCACCGAAGCUCAUAACCUCAUUAAGAAGUCCACGUUUCUGUGAUAUGUUUAGUUUCCCCCAUAUUUAUUAAUUGUGCUACAACAGUAUAAAAUUGUGUCCUGUGUUAUAUGUUGCUUUACCUUUUCAUAAGUGUAGGUCAGACUGAAGGGUACACUCAGCCCUUCCUUCUACUGCUAAUAUUGAGUACUUCUUACUGUUAACCUUUUUUGAGAUAAAUGUGGAGUCUGAAAUAACUUUAUAAACAGCUAUUUUGGUAAUUUGAGUCUUCUUGUUGAGUCUUUGGACCCCUGGAUUGUCUUCCCUCUGGGUGCAGAUACUGUUCCCCAUCAUGUAUCAAAAUGGUAAUUGUAUGAUAGCAAGUAGAAGGAAAUAUUAGCAAAUCAAAUGUCAUUGGUGCUCCUUAAAUGUUUUGAUUAAGUUUAUUCUUAAGUUAUCUGUUCAAUCAUUUUUCUCAGGUUCUCCCUCUUCAGAGUAGUCGGCUUCUUGUCUCCUUUACAACAUGGUCCCCUUGUCUGCUCCCUCACUUCUUGUUGUGAUGCCAAUGCUCAGACAUGACUUAGUUCUCAAAAAUUGUCAAAUGUUUUUUUUUCUAAAAAAAAAAAAAAUUCAACAAAAAAGCAUAUUAAAAGUCUUCUUCAUUUGUG
ensembl:lncRNA